ensembl:lncRNA
CACUUUUUUUCCAUGCAGCCCGUCUAGGUGGUCCGUGUCCUCCCACCUCCCACCUGGUCCCACUACCGGUUGCAUGAAGAGCAUGAUUAGAUUGCUGUCAGACUCUAGCACAGUCCCCAUCCAACCAUCGAUCGAACCAUCCACUCAUCCAUCCAUCCAACCAGUAAGAUAAAACUACAUUUACAAUCCCGCAAACAUUUGUAGUAACGCAAAUAUCAAUUCUACCAUCUUCUUUUCAUGAAGACAUUCUAAAAGAGUUAAAUCAAUAUUUCGGUCUUCGCUGCUUUUGAAAACCCAAUUUGCCUUUAAGUUCUAGACACACUAAAUGGACAAACAAUGUAAGUAAUUCUCAGCUUCUCGAGUGUUCUCUCUGUAGUACAUGUGUGGGUCUAGUGGAAAGACGAGCCCGGCAUUGAGCGGUGGGUUUUCUUGUCUGCACAUGUCUCUCCUCCUCUGUAGUGUCACUCAGGGUUUUGUAGCUUAGACCGCCGCCUUGCUCUCUCAUCCCUGCUACCACUGUGUCGGGUGACAUCAUCCAUUUGAGAAGGGGCUGCUACAUCAUGAGGCACAAAGCCGCUGUCGAGCGGCGGCCCCAUAAAGAAACAUGCCACACCGUUCAACCGCUCACUUCAAACAAGUCAGGAUUACUCUCUUGUGGUCCUUCUCUGCCUGUGGCUGCGUGCGGGAUAAAGGCCAGAUUAAGGGGAUUAGCGCGUAUCCUC